rnacentral:rRNA from 1 species
CCUACGGGAGGCAGCAGUAGGGAAUCUUCCACAAUGGGCGAAAGCCUGAUGGAGCAACGCCGCGUGAGUGAUGAAGGCCUUCGGGUUGUAAAACUCUGUCAUUCGGGACGAACCGGAGUCUGAGGAAAUGCAGACUCUCUGACGGUACCGGAGGAGGAAGCCCCGGCUAACUACGUGCCAGCAGCCGCGGUAAUACGUAGGGGGCAAGCGUUGUCCGGAUUCACUGGGCGUAAAGCGCGCGCAGGCGGUGAUGUAAGUCUGAGGUGAAAACCCGAAGCUCAACUUCGGGACUGCCUUGGAUACUGCGUCACUUGAGGAUAGGAGAGGCAAGGGGAAUUCCACGUGUAGCGGUGAAAUGCGUAGAGAUGUGGAGGAACACCUGUGGCGAAGGCGCCUUGCUGGCCUAUUUCUGACGCUGAGGCGCGAAAGCGUGGGGAGCAAACAGGAUUAGAUACCCUGGUAGUCCACGCUGUAAACGAUGAGUGCUAGGUGUAGGUGGGCUCAUACCCAUCUGUGCCGAAGCUAACGCAUUAAGCACNCCGCCGUGGGAGGUACGGUCGCGACGACGUAGUAAACGUUAAAGUUAAGUAAGUUAGUACGGACGUUAGGAGACGAGCGACGGACGACGACGAGGGGAGGAGG